rnacentral:rRNA from 1 species
AGUGAACGCUGGCGGUAGGCCUAACACAUGCAAGUCGAACGGCAGCACAGUAAGAGCUUGCUCUUACGGGUGGCGAGUGGCGGACGAGUGAGGAAUACAUCGGAAUCUACUUUUUCGUGGGGGAUAACGUAGGGAAACUUACGCUAAUACCGCAUACGACCUACGGGUGAAAGCAGGGGAUCUUCGGACCUUGCGCGAUUGAAUGAGCCGAUGUCGGAUUAGCUAGUUGGCGGGGUAAAGGCCCACCAAGGCGACGAUCCGUAGCUGGUCUGAGAGGAUGGUCAGCCACACUGGAACUGAGACACGGUCCAGACUCCUACGGGAGGCAGCAGUGGGGAAUAUUGGACAAUGGGCGAAAGCCUGAUCCAGCCAUACCGCGUGGGUGAAGAAGGCCUUCGGGUUGUAAAGCCCUUUUGUUGGGAAAGAAAAGCAGCAGGUUAAUACCCCGCUGUUCUGACGGUACCCAAAGAAUAAGCACCGGCUAACUUCGUG